UACAGAGGUCUCAAGCGUUGUUCGGAUUCAUUGGGCGUAAAGGGUGCGUAGGUGGCAUGGUCAGUCGGAUGUGAAAUCCCGGGGCUCAACCCCGGAACUGCAUUCGAUACUGCCGUGCUGGAGUACUGGAGAGGAGAUUGGAAUUACGGUGUAGCAGUGAAAUGCGUAGAUAUCGUAAGGAAGACCAGUGGCGAAGGCGGAUCUCUGGACAGUUACUGACACUGAGGCACGAAGGCCAGGGGAGCAAACGGG
rnacentral:rRNA from 1 species